ensembl:snRNA U6 U6 spliceosomal RNA
AUGCUCACUUCAGCAGCACAAACACUAAAAUUCGAAUAAUACAGAGAAGAUAAGCAUGGCCCCAUGCACAUGGAUGAUGCAAAUUUGUGAAGCAUCUCAAAUUUUU